rnacentral:tRNA from 1 species
AGAAAAGUAAGCUAAUUCAAGCUAAUGGGUUCAUACCCCAUAUAUAGAGUAUAACACUCUCUUCUCUA